rnacentral:misc_RNA from 1 species
GAUGAAGAACGCAGCGAAAUGCGAUACUUGGUGUGAAUUGCAGAAUCCCGUGAACCAUCGAGUCUUUGAACGCAAGUUGCGCCUCAAGCCAUUAGGUUGAGGGCACGUCUGCCUGGGCGUCACAUAUCGUUGCCUGAUGCCAGUUUCCUCGUGAUGGGUGACUGUGCAGGGCGAAUGAUGGCUUCCCGUGAGCAUUGUUGCCUCAUGGUUGGUUGAAAAUUGAGUCCUUGGUAGGGAGCGCCGUGAUAGAUGGUGGUUGAGUGACGAACGAGACCCAAUCAUGUGAGACCCCUACCGAAUUUGGCCUUCAUGACCCACAUGCGUCUUUGGAACGCUCAUGACGAGACCUCAGGUCAGGCGGGGCUACCCGCUGAGUUUAAGCAUAUCAUAAGCGAGGA